rnacentral:rRNA from 1 species
CUACGGGUGGCAGCAGGCGAGAAAACUUUGCAAUGUGCGAAAGCACGACAAGGUUAAUCCGAGUGGUUUGUGCUAAACGAACCUUUUGACAGUCCUAGAAACACUGUUGAAUAAGGGGUGGGCAAGUUCUGGUGUCAGCCGCCGCGGUAAAACCAGCACCUCAAGUGGUCAGGAUGAUUAUUGGGCCUAAAGCAUCCGUAGCCGGCUCUGUUAGUUUUCGGUUAAAUCUGUACGCUCAACGUACAGGCUGCCGGGAAUACUGCAGAGCUAGGGAGUGGGAGAGGUAGACGGUACUCGGUAGGAAGGGGUAAAAUCCUUUGAUCUAUUGAUGACCACCUGUGGCGAAGGCGGUCUACCAGAACACGUCCGACGGUGAGGGAUGAAAGCUGGGGGAGCAAACCGGAUUAGAUACCCCGGUAGUC